GCCACCCUAGCUCAAUCGGCAGAGCAGGCGCUUCGUAAGCGUCAGGUUGAGGGUUCAAUUCCCUCGGGUGGCU
rnacentral:tRNA from 1 species